rnacentral:lncRNA from 1 species
GGGCCAUUUGGCAAGGUGAGCUGCAUUAGAUCAUACAAUAUAACUGUAAAUUGGAAAUGGUUUAAGCUGUCAAAUCUGUUUUUUUGCCACUAGAUUUUCUCAUGACUCGUUUCUCUUUCUAAUUGGAUUUUAGCAUGUACUUUGUGUUUCAAAACUUGGAAUGAUGAAGAAUUAGAUAGCACUGAGCUUUAGGAACAGGCGGCCUCCCAAGCUGUGUUUAAUCUUUAACAGCUGAGAGUUGAUUCCAAGGGACAGAUCCUGUAGCAAAUAGGCUGAGGUAUCCCUGCACAGAUGUCAGCGAUCCGAGUGCUGCGCUUGGUGCUAUUUAAAGCAAAGGAACUGCCCCCCUGCAGUUUGUAAUGAGGUUCAAGUCUCUCACAAUCACAUGAUUCGAGCUGCAGAGGAUUUACAAAUGCAAAAUCUCCCAGAAGACCUACAUCCAUCACCAGCCUGACUGAAAAACUGAGAUGGAUUUCAGCUGUGUCCCAGUUUGCACUACACGAGCUGACUUUGUGCAAUAAUGAAGGAGACUGGAUCAAAGGCAAAAGCCCUGCUGGAAAUCUUGUGGGCUGUCACCCUGUCUUUGGUGGCAGGUUAGUGAAAGGCUUUACUUCAACUGGUGUGAUACUGCUUUGGGGCUG